AUGAAGACCCUGACUGGACCUUUUGUCCUGUGCUUGUGGCUGCAGCUGAACUGUGUGAGCAGAGGAGAGCAGCUGGAGCAGCCUUCUCUCCUGAGUGUCCAGGAGGGAGGCAGUGCAGUUAUCAACUGCACCUACACAGACAGUACAAAUUAUUACUUCUACUGGUACAAGCAAGAGCCUGAGUCAGCUCUCCAGUUCCUUAUGAAUGUUCUUUCAAAUGUGGACAGAAAAGAAGAACAAAGACUCACUGUCCUACUGAAUAAGGAGGAAAAACGUCUCUCCCUGAACAUCACAGCUGCCCAUCCUGGGGACUCAGCCACAUACUUCUGUGCAGCAAACCGAGGUUCAACCUUGGGGAAGCUGUAUUUUGGAAUCGGGACUCGACUGACUGUCAUGCCUGACAUUCAAGACCCCAAACCAGCUGUGUACCAGCUAAGAGAUGCUCAGUCCAAGAACAGCACCAUCUGCCUGUUCACCGACUUCGGUUCCCACAUCAACAAGUCAGUGGAUACGCCACCUGAUGUGUUUGUCUCCAACAACACCGUGCUGGACAUGCGGUCUAUGGAUUCCAAGAGCAAUGGGGCCAUUGCCUGGAGUGACCACAGUAGUUUGAACUGUAAAGACGCCUUCAGACAGAACGCCUCCUUCCCCAGCUCAGAUGUUCCCUGUGAUGCCAAGUUGAUAGAGAAAAGCUUUGAAACAGAUAUGAACCUCAACUUUCAAAACCUGUCAGUGAUGGGACUCCGAAUCCUGCUCCUGAAAGUGGCCGGAUUUAACCUGCUCAUGACGCUGCGGCUGUGGUCCAGCUGAGGUUUCCAGACUGAAGGAGGCUGAACUCCCAAGCUCCUUCCUCUUCAUCACCCCUCCUUGUCCUCUUCAAGCGAAAAGGAGCCCGCCCACCUCCUAAAGAAGGCUCUCGGGUCUGAGCAGCUCACAACCCCAUCAACUGGGUCUCCUGAAUCUGUGAUGGAAACCUCUGAAGAGCCGCUGCUACCCCACUUCCUCACUGCUGCCGGCCACUCAAGAUAGGCAGGGGCUGCUGCUUCUCCUGGAUGUGAAAACCCUUCACACACACCCCUGCUCUCCCCCAUCCCCACCCCUGCAACUGCAGCUCCUUGUGAAUGUUGUAAAGAACAUGCUUUUGUUUUUAGUUUUUUAAAGCAUCCAUAAAGAAAUACACAUUACUCUUUCCUCAAGGUGUAGAAAACUUAACUCCUUGUCUAGACCCUCCCUGCUCCUGUGUGUGUA